rnacentral:rRNA from 1 species
GCCUACGACCAGGUCACACGGAAUGCGCACGAUCUCAUAAGAUCUCAGAAGCUAAGCAGUGUUGAGCCAUGGCUGGUGCUUGAAUGGGUGACCGCUGUGAACAGCGGGUUGCAAUAGGCU